AUUGAACGCUGGCGGCAGGCCUAACACAUGCAAGUCGAGCGGCAGCACAAGUGAGUUUACUCAUGAGGUGGCGAGCGGCGGACGGGUGAGUAAUGCCUAGGGAUCUGCCCAGUCGAGGGGGAUAACAGUUGGAAACGACUGCUAAUACCGCAUACGCCCUACGGGGGAAAGAGGGGGACUUUCGGGCCUCCCGCGAUUGGAUGAACCUAGGUGGGAUUAGCUAGUUGGUGAGGUAAUGGCUCACCAAGGCGACGAUCCCUAGCUGUUCUGAGAGGAUGAUCAGCCACACUGGGACUGAGACACGGCCCAGACUCCUACGGGAGGCAGCAGUGGGGAAUAUUGCACAAUGGGGGAAACCCUGAUGCAGCCAUGCCGCGUGUGUGAAGAAGGCCUUCGGGUUGUAAAGCACUUUCAGUAGGGAGGAAAGGGUAAGUCCUAAUACGGCUUAUCUGUGACGUUACCUACAGAAGAAGGACCGGCUAACUCCGUGCCAGCCGCCGCAGUAAAAC
rnacentral:rRNA from 1 species